CGCAAAUGAUGAUCUUACUCUUGAACUCUCUCACUGAGCAGUUGAUGACAGUUAAGAAUUCUGAUCUUGUG